GAUGAAGAACGUAGCGAAAUGCGAUACUUGGUGUGAAUUGCAGAAUCCCGUGAACCAUCGAGUCUUUGAACGCAAGUUGCGACUCAAGCCAUUAGGUUGAGGGCACGUCUGCCUGGGCGUCACAUAUCGUUGCCUGAUGCCAGUUUCCUCGUGAUGGGUGACUGUGCAGGGCGAAUGAUGGCUUCCCGUGAGCAUUGUUGCCUCAUGGUUGGUUGAAAAUUGAGUCCUUGGUAGGGAGCGCCGUGAUAGAUGGUGGUUGAGUGACGAACGAGACCCAAUCAUGUGAGACCCCUACCGAAUUUGGCCUUCAUGACCCACAUGCGUCUUUGGAACGCUCAUGACGAGACCUCAGGUCAGGCGGGGCUACCCGCUGAGUUUAAGCAUAUCAAUAAGCGGAGGA
rnacentral:misc_RNA from 1 species